UUUUUUGAGAGUUUGAUCCUGGCUCAGGAUGAACGCUGGCGGCGUGUCUAAGGCAUGCAAGUUGAACGUAGUGUUGCCCGCAAGGGCAAUAUUCAGUAGCAAACGGGUGAGUAACACAUUGGUAACCUACCUUCAAGACGGGGAUAGCUCACCGAAAGGUGAAUUAAUACCCGAUAGUAAUGGGGGGACGCAAGUCAUUCCCAUUUAAAUCUUUUUGGCUUGAAGAGGGGCCUAUGUCUGAUUAGCUAGUUGGUGGGGUAAUGGCCCACCAAGGCUAUGAUCAGUAGCAGGCGUGAGAGCGUGACCUGCCUCACUGGGACUGAGACACUGCCCAGACAUCUACGGAUGGCUGCAGUCAAGAAUAUUCCCCAAUGGACGAAAGUCUGAGGGAGCGACGCCGCGUGUAGGAUGAAGGUCUUCGGAUUGUAAACUACUUUUAUGUGGGACGAAUUCGUGACGGUACCACUUGAAUAAGAGGUUGCUAACUCUGUGCCAGCAGCAGCGGUAAUACAGAGACCUCGAGCGUUAUCCGGAUUUAUUGGGCGUAAAGGGUCCGCAGGUUGUUUAGUGGGUUGGGGGUCAAAACUCUGGGCUUAACCUAGAGCCGGCUUUCAAAACUACUUAACUAGAGGGUGGAAGAGGUAAGCAGAAUUGCUGGUGUAGUCGUAAUAAGCGUUGAUAUCAGCAAGAAUACCAAAGGCGAAGGCAGCUUACUGGUACACACCUGACACUCAGGGACUAAAGCGUGGGGAGCAAACAGGAUUAGAUAAAUCCUAUCUCGAUUUAAUCGAGAAAAAGGUGUCCUUCUCGACAGUGAUGUCGGGAUUAGCAUCCAGCUAUAUCGGGGAAACUCCAAACAAUAUAGAUAUCUACCAAUCUGUUUGGACAAUCCCGAGGGAAGUAUUUCAUUUUGAAGAGAUGGCGAAAUACCCCGUAGAGACUAGAAUUUAAUCGUGAUAAUAGUUAUUGAUCUGAUGGUUAAGUUCAUAACGCUGGAUCUCUGAAGUCGCGGCUAAAACGAAUUUUUCACGAGCAAUCGUGGAGGAAUUUGUUCAAAUGAAAAAAAGCCGAUGGCAAAAAUACAGAGAAUGAUAUAGUCCAAUCCGUGUAGUAAUAUACGGUAGUCGUGAUAAUUCAAUCAUGAAAUGACCCUGGUAGUCCACGCCCUAAACUAUGCAAACUAGGUAUUAGCAGUAUCGACCCUGUUAGUGCCGUUUAAAAAAGCUAACGCGUUAAGUUUGCCGCCUGGGGAGUACGGUCGCAAGAUUAAAACUCAAAGGAAUAGACGGGGACCCGCACAAGCGGUGGAUUAUGUGGUUUAAUUCGAUAACAAACGGGGAACCUUACCUGGGCUCAACUACUAGCUGCAGGACACCAGAAAUGGAGUCCGCCUUCGAGGGUGCUAGAUAGGUGCUGCAUGGUUGCCGUCAGCUCGUGCCGUGAGGUGUACCAUUAAGUUGGGAAACGAGCGCAACCCACGUCGUGUGUUAAAUUGUACACGCGAGACCGCCUGGCCCCUUAUUCGUAAAAUAUUUUUGCGGAUAGAGGGCCAGGAGGAAGGGGUGGAUGACGUCAAAUCAGCAUGGCUCUUACGUCCAGGGCUACACACAUAAUACAAUGGUCGGUACAGAGGGCUGCCAAGUCGCGAGACGGAGCUAAUCCUCAAAACCGGCCUCAGUUCAGAUUGUAGGCUGCAACUCGCCUGCAUGAAGUUGGAAUCGCUAGUAAACGCGUAUCAGCCACGGCGCGUUGAAUACGUUCUCGGGUCUUGUACUCACCGCCCGUCACACCACGGGAGUUGGCAAUGCCCAAAGCGCCUUUGGCGUUAAGGCAGGGUCAAUGACUAGGGUGAAGUCGUAACAAGGCAUCCGUAGCGGAAGCUGUGGAUGGAUCACCUCCUUU
rnacentral:rRNA from 1 species